UCCGAUCAGAGGUAAAAGGAAACAACACAAGAAGCUAAAAAUAAUAGCUAGAAGAAAUUUAAAGCUCAAAACCAAGAGAGAUUCGUCGGAAAUAAAGAGCGACUCAAACUCAAAACACAACUUUGACUGCUACUUUCGGCUUUCGGCCAACUUACGAAUGCAGCUUUUUCGUUGAUUGCUGAACUGUUGGAAGAUGUUUUUCGGCGGUGCCAUUACUGCAGCGAGCAGCGUUGCCAAAAUGAUAGAUUCCUGCCGUUAUGCAAAAUAUUUAGUAUUGGACGAUCAACGAUCCGGCAGCAGCGGCAGUUGAAGAAUCUCCUCCUCGCGUACGCCGUACCUACGCGAUCUCGCGUUCUCCAUAUUCUUUGCAUUGUUUUGCCGUGCUCGAAUGCCUUCCGUGAUCAAAAUGUCUGAAACUGACGAGAGAAACAGCGUAGAUCGUGACGAGAAAAAAGAUGCUGAAGAAGGCAGCACCACUCCAGCUAAGUCUGACAAAGGAGAGCCAAAAACUCCUGUUAAAGAGGCGAAAACUCCAUCCAAAGCGGAUUCCAAAACACCUGUGAAAGGAGAUUCAAAAACACCAGUCAAAGCAGAAAAUGGAAUUUCUUCCCCAGCAUCUGAGAAAAAGAAAGGAAAGGAAGAGAAGGAGGCUCCCAUUAAAGCCCCUGCAAAGAAAAGAGCAAAAACAGAGGUGAAAGAAAUCGAAAAAGAGGAAGACGAUGAAUCUGAGAAUAGUGAAGAUGAGGAAGAUGAAGAGUCUCCCAAAGAAAAUCCGGUAUGAACAAAAUUGAAUGGAAAUGUCUGAGACUAAAUUCCACGUUUUGCAUUUUUGAUUUGUUGGUAUUGAAGUAUUUUCAAUAUUGUUUGCUGAUCAGGUGUUACUAAUUUGAUAUUGGAUUUCCAUCUCAUCUCUUAUUUGUUCUAUCAUCUAAGAAUAAAUCUAAUCUUGAUGAAACUUUGGCGUAGAGAAAAAAAUGGAGGUGUUUGCAUCUUAUGGAUUUUUUACCCUUGUGACGUAGGUCAGCACAACCUGGCCAGUAAAAUCCAGAAUUCGAAGUAUGAAAAACAGACAAUCACAACCGAUUUUUUUGCUUAAAUCAACUCAUGAUAUAAUUUCAAACACCUUAUGUAGAAAGACUUUUUUCCAUAAAUUACACAAUUUUCAAGAAAAUCGAUAAUAAAACUUGUCCGUAUUGACCUUCAUCAUCAAUAGAAUGCAAGAUGCCCAAGAUGCAAACACCUCCUUUUUAUCUCUAUGAAAUUUCGGAAUGAAUAUAAUGCAAGGUUGCCAGAUUAUAUGAUAAAUUAAGGAUAUUCUCUUUUACAUGACGUUAAGUAUGGAAAAGUGCUGAUUUUUCAUAAAGUACUAUCUGACAACAAUGAUCUGAUGCUUGAAAUUGUGAGAAUGCAGUUCGAAAUGUAAGAGGCUAAAAAGUUUCCUUUCUUUGAAUCGCGUUCAGCAUGGACGCUUUUCAUCCAUCGUAGAGACGUUUUCCUUUUUUUUAUGGUAAUAAUGCUGAUAAAUGCUACUCAUCUGUGUACAAUGUUGCCUUUUUUCCAAAACCAGAUACUUUCGAAGAGUGAUAUUAAAUUUUCAGGGAAAUGUAAAAACAUGUUCUUACAUUGAAACCCAGUUUCUCAGUUUUUUUCCAAUUUAAUGUAGCAGUUGAAAUAUCUUCCCUGCCAGUAAAAUUAAAGUGUUGGAAUUUUAUUGUUGUUGUUGUUUUUACAUUAUUUUGUACCUGUCUUUAGUUCCUCUGCUUGAUGCUCCCCUCAAAGUUGAAGGCACUAGAGAACGGAAGAAGGUUGAGCGAUUCAUUCCAACCAGUGAACCCAAAACCCAUUCAGCAGUUGAAAUCCCAGAAGGAAAAGGCACCCCUAUCGGAGAAAUUGAAAUAAUCACUGAAAAUAUGCAGGUGAGUGUUCAAUAAUACACUUUAAUGGAUGGUAUAAGAUCCAUAAAUAAUGUUCUUUUUUGCAGAAACUUUUGAAAGCAAGACCAGUACGUUUAUUUU
rnacentral:lncRNA from 1 species